AUACAUAGGGGGCGAGCGUUAUCCGGAAUUAUUGGGCGUAAAGCGUACGUAGGCGGAAUGAUAAGUCAUUUGUAAAAGAUCUCGGCUCAACCGAGUAAGGCGAAUGAAACUGUCAAUCUUGAGUAUGGUAGAGGUAAGCGGAAUUUCAAGUGUAGCGGUGGAAUGCGUAGAUAUUUGAAGGAACACCGAUGGCGAAGGCAGCUUACUGGGCCAGAACUGACGCUGAGGUACGAAAGCGUGGGUAGCAAACAGGAUUAGAUACCCUGGUAGUCCACGCCGUAAACGAUGAGAACUAAGUGUCGGGGUAACACUCGGUGCUGCAGUUAACGCAAUAAGUUCUCCGCCUGGGUAGUACGGUCGCAAGACUGAA
rnacentral:rRNA from 1 species